ACGUAGGGAGCGAGCGUUGUCCGGAAUUACUGGGCGUAAAGGGCGCGUAGGCGGGUAUUUAAGUCAGAUGUGAAAACUCCGGGCUCAACCUGGAGACUGCAUUUGAAACUGAGUAUCUUGAGGGCAGGAGAGGAAAGUGGAAUUCCUAGUGUAGCGGUGAAAUGCGUAGAUAUUAGGAGGAACACCAGUGGCGAAGGCGACUUUCUGGACUGUACCUGACGCUGAGGCGCGAAAGCGUGGGGAGCGAACGG
rnacentral:rRNA from 1 species